rnacentral:miRNA from 1 species
AGGAGCUCACACGUCUUGCAGA